GGGGCAGGUAGGGCGGCGGGGCUUUGGCUUUGGCAGCAACCUGACAAUCACAGGACCUCAAUCUUGGUAAAUGCAGUCAGCAGAGAACCAGGGCUGGUUUCAGUGUGUUGAGUCCAGUAGGCUACCAGGAGGUUAAAAAUGUCUGAGGCAUAUGUUUGACCACCAUUAACAAACCUAAAACAACAAAACCCUUUAGAGACACAAGAGAAAGGAACAAUGUCACCAGUGACGUUCUCCACUUCCCAAACACUCCUGGUUUAGAAGAGCUGGGAGAAAUGCAGUCUAUUUUAGGGGCUUUAUCAGUGACAUUAAAAAAAAAAACAGUAAUACGUUUGAUAUUUCACUUCAAUUAUUCAUCUAAGGAGCCCCUGGGUAGGGACAGAUAUGGAACCAUUGGUUGCACAGUAGCCCAGAAGACAGUGUGAGAUGCGGGGCCCUGGGAGCUGGGAAUUCCUUCUUCCUCGUUCUGACCCCACAACUGCUGCCAGAAAGGUUUAUGAGCCCUCAUCAUUUAUUAUGUGAGUUUUCUAUAUUUGGAAACACUUUGGGGGAAAAUUUUCCACACUUAGAAACUCAUUACCCGAGUCUCCAGUACAUCCAUUUUUCCACGCCCUUCUUUACACAUGGAAAGGUUUAUCAUUAAGAAUGUUCAUCUUAAAUGCAGUUGAAACAGAGACACAGAGAUGACCCCGCUCCCCAGAGGUUCUGCUCGCUAGCAAGUGGCACACUCCGCCCCUCCUACGGGUCAUUCGCGGUGGCUUCUGGAAGGCUGGGUGGAGGUGGGGUGUGGGCAGCUUUUUCAGAGAUGGGGUAAGUGUCCUCUGCGCUUCCAUGAGGAGGAGCUUGGCUCAGGCUCUGAAAGGCUUCUAUCCUUUCCUCCCUCGUGCUGGACAUGAACCAGUCACAUGAGCAAGUCACAUAAGCAAGUCAGGAAGGGUGUAUUAGUCACUUUUCACACUGCUAUAAAGACUGGGUAAUUUAUAAAGGGAAGAGGUUUAAUUGACUCACAGUUCAGCAUGGCUGGGGAGGCCUCAGGAAAAUUACAAUCAUGGCAGAAGGCGAAGGGGAAGCAAGGCACCUUCUUCAGAAGGCGGCAGGAAUGAGAAGGAAUUCAGGAGGAACUAACAAACACGUAUAAAACCAUCAGAUCUCGUGAGAACUCACUAUCACAAGAACAGCACGGGGGAGCUACCCCCAGGAUUCAAUCACCUCCACCUGGUCUCUCCUUUGACAUGUGGGGAUUAUGAGAAUUAUGGGGAUUAUAAUUCAAGACGAGAUUUGGGUGGGGACACAAGGCCUAACCAUAUCAAGGGUCUAACACCGUGAAACCCCGUCUCUACUAAAAAAAAAUACAAAAAAUUAGCCGGGCAUGGUGGCGGGCACCUGUAGUCCCAGCUACUCAGGACGCUGAGGCAGGAGAAUGGCGUGAACCCGGGAGGUGGAGGUUGCAGUGAGCCGAGAUUGCGCCACUGCACCCCAGCCUGGGUGACAGAGCAAGACUCCGCUUCAAAAAAAAAGGACAAUUAUUUCCUCUCUUCUUGUGACAAAAGCAGAACACGUUGAUUUCAGGAAUAUACAGGUAAGAAAAGGCAAAGGCACCUAAAAUUCCAUCAUCUUAGGGAAAAUCACUAUUACCCCCCCAACUUUCAUCUACACAUGUAUAAUAAUGAAAGUAGUAACUUACUGAGGGCCCAGCACGGGUCAGGAGCUGGGCUGUGUGCACCCCAGCUCCUAUAUAUGCACCGUUCCACCUAACCCACACAACCAGUCUGCUGGUCACUCCACGGGGUCCCAGCAUGGUGUGUGGAUGGAGUGUGGGCUCCAGAGCCAGGCUGCCUGGUUUCGAGACCCACUCUGCCACUCAUGACUGUGAUCUCCAGCAAGCUGAUUAGCAUCCAUGCCUCAGGUCCUCACCUGUCAAAUGGGGGUAAUAACAUCAGAGGUGCCACACGGGUUGUCAGGAGGAUUAAAUGAGUAAAUAGGUGUAAAACACUUACUGCUUGGUACUUGCAAGUGCUCAACUCAGCAGAGUCACUUAUUGUUUCCUUUGUAGAAAUAUGGAAGCAUGUUCAGAGAAGUCGGUGACUUGGUUGAGAUCCCACAAGCACUAACUGAUAAAGCCAGGUUUGAAACUUAAAUCUCUUCUGAGUCCAGAUCUAUUAUGAUAUAAUAUACAAGAGAGACAAGAGAAAAAAAUCAGUGUUCCCCUGCUCCUUAACACUAUUCUUUAAGUUGCAAAUAUCUUCUGCUCACUGUAUAAUACUCCAGCCCUAAAUGUGCCCUUGACCGAGUCUUAGCCAGUGGGUAGAGACCUAGAGGAGUUGGCAAAGGCUCAGCUUUGUUUAGUGCAGUGCCGUCAAGCACAGGAACCCCUGGGCCUCUCACUGACAGGCAGAUUCAUUUCUAACAGGUCCCCAAGUGAGCUGCUGCUGCUGGUCUGGGAACCACACUGCAGAGAGGCUUUUGGGAAUUCUGGCCAGUGAAUCUGCUUUCGCUGGGACCUUCCUGCUGCUGCCUUUUUGUUUUACACAGUUGCCUUCCAUCUUCCCUUGUG
rnacentral:lncRNA from 1 species